rnacentral:lncRNA from 1 species
CUGCACCUUUAAGUCUGCAGCCGGUUGAGAAAAACAAGCUGUGAUUUAUAUAAGCGGGAAAAUCAUGUGAUUUGCAGGAACGCUCCCUCCUCCCUGGCCCCCUCCCCGCGUCGCCUCCAGCCCAUCCCAGAGGGGCCCGGCCGGCGGGGAGGGGCGGGGGCGCCCGGAGCCUCCAUUCACAAAGCGGGGCCGGCGAGCCGAGCGCGGCGGGGGCUGCGCCUAGUUCUUGCGGCCCCAGGCGCCAGGAAGGGCGGCCGAAGGCCUCGGAGCGCAGCAGAGUGUGCCUCCCCAACAGACUCGGGUCCUCCCAGAUGCAGAAACUGUAGAGCCAGCAAGACCCGAGGAGGUCAUCUCAGCCACCACCACCCCCACCGCUCUGGAGGAAUACACCAAGCCCUUCCAGGAAGUGCUUCCAGCGGGAGAGGAUUAGCAAUCACUUCCAAAACCAAGCCCAGGAGAAGUUGGGGCCUUUCUCAGGGAGAAGAGCUGGGAGGAGUGGACAGGAGACCUUCCUCUCCUCCACCAGCAUCCCGGCCCACGUCCAGCAUGUGCUGCCCCCACCUGCUGCUGCAUCGGCCUCACGUGUCUGCCAGGACCUCCCCUCUCAGAAGGCGGAUCACUGUCCUGUGCUGUCUGAUGUUCAAAACCAUCGCUUCAUAUAUCUUGUAUAACUUUUUCAUUGCUUCACGUGGGAGGAUGUGUCCAGAGCUCUCUGCCUGUACAAGGGCCACUGACAGAGGACCCCAGGCAUAUUCCUGGCCAGUUCAGCAUCUGGACAAGGCUGCCCCAGCAGGAUACCACCACAGCAUGGCUUGAUGAGCAGUGCUAGGUCCACACCUGGCAUCUGAACCUAUGAACCCUGGGCCUCCAAAGCAGAGUGCGUGAACUUAACCACUACGCCACUGGGCCAGCCUGGAAUCUAUACUUUCAA